rnacentral:rRNA from 1 species
CAAUGGACGAAAGUCUGACCGAGCAACGCCGCGUGAGUGAAGAAGGUUUUCGGAUCGUAAAGCUCUGUUGUAAGUCAAGAACGUGUGUGAGAGUGGAAAGUUCACACAGUGACGGUAGCUUACCAGAAAGGGACGGCUAACUACGUG